UUAAACGAUUUUCGAUAUUAAAAUUCCUUUAUAAAAAAAAAAAUAGGUACUACAUUAAACUCAAAUUUUUGCCAUUUUACGUAUAAUUUAUUUUCUUUCGGGUUUUUACCAAUUAUUUCGAAAACCUUCGGAAAAUCAAAAAAUGACCUCCAAAUGCACCAGCGAGAUAAAAUUAACUUUCAGGAAAGGUGCUAUUAUAUUCUAUACUUUAGAGCAAGUUUUCUGUUAGAAAAAUUGUCUAUAGACAUAAAAAAUACAAAAAAAAGAAAUACACAUCAUAGUAAAACCUCGCUACGCUCUAAAUCUAAAAUUAUCUCUAUAUAAUAAUUAACAAUACAUUUAUUUUUGCAAAAUUAUUACACAUACUAUAAGCAAACCAUAUACAAUCUGCAACACUUCCUGUAAGCCAAGUUUGUGAUGGGAGUGUUUAGUUCAUUAGACGUUAGAUACCUAACAAAUUAAUAUCUUAAUAUUUUUUGUUCACGUGUAUAAUAUUCUAUGUUUUUGUAGUUAUUAAUUUAUUAUUAUUUAUCAAUUAUUAAUUAUUAAAGAAUGAAAAACACGUUAAAAAGAAAGGGAGAAUACAUUUUUGAGUUCUCCGAAGCAUAAACUCUAUUGAAUAUUGUUACUGAGCACUUCGGUGUUAUUAACGGAGUGAGUAAAAAAUUUAAAAAUGCCGAAUGAAUGAAAAUAAUUUAAAAGUUCGAAGCAGCAUCAUCUAUACAUGCUUAUAGCCACAGCUUGAAAACGUAGUUAGAAAAUUAAAUAAGGAAGGCAAAAUUGGAAAUCGUCUAUAUCAUCAUCGUCUUCAAAACACAUUUGAAGAACAUUUUUAUUAGCUCGUUAUAGCAUUUUAUAAUAUUAAUUAAAGCAAAACACUCGAAUGAACUUCAAAAUCGACGACAAAUUAAACAAAUAUUUGACAACGCUAAUCGGCUAAUUCGGGCGGUCGUGAUUACGUAGCGGUUACGCUUAACUGGAUUUUGAGAAAUUUUGCAAAAUCUCCGGUUAACUACGUGAAAUGUGACUAACAUAGUUAGUGAAAUCAUUUAUAACACAUAAAUAUUUAAUUGCACGGUAGUUAUACUUAAGUUUAUUUUAGUACUUUAGUUACAAAAAAACGGG